GGAUUCCCUUAGUAGCGGCGAGCGAACCGGGAGAAGCCCAGCUUGAAAAUCGCGUCGUUCUGCGGCGCGAGUUGUAGUCUGGAGAAGUGUCCUCUGCGGCGGACCCGGCCUAAGUCCCCUGGAAAGGGGCGUCAGAGAGGGUGAGAACCCCGUCGGGCCGGGACCCUGCUGCUCCACGAGGCGCUGUCUACGAGUCGGGCUGUUUGGGAAUGCAGCCCUAAGCGGGAGGUAAAUUCCUUCCAAGGCUAAAUACAGGCGAGAGACCGAUAGCGAACAAGUACCGCGAGGGAAAGAUGAAAAGGACUUUGAAAAGAGAGUUAAAAAGUGCUUGAUAUUGCUGGGAAGGAAGCGAAUGGAGGCCUCGUGUGCGCCCCGGUCCGAUGCGGAACGGCGCG
rnacentral:rRNA from 1 species